rnacentral:lncRNA from 1 species
UUUUUACCUCCCACAGUAUUUAAAAAUGUCAGUAUUAAAGUUUUGUAUUCAUACUUUGCAAACUAAGGAGAACCAAAUUCUUUUAAACUCUUUAGCUAUGUGAAACAUAAUUUUAACUGUUCUUUAUCAGAUCUCCACAGAUACAUAUAAUACAAGAGAUUUGUAACUCAACAAACUAUUGUUUAAAGACGCGGUUAAUUCGACACCC